rnacentral:rRNA from 1 species
GCUUACGGCCAUAUCAGCCUGGGUACACCAGAUAUCGUCUGAUCUCGGAAGCUAAGCAGGGUCGGGCCUGGUUAGUACUUGGAUGGGAGACCGCCUGGGAAUACCAGGUGCUGUAAGCA